rnacentral:rRNA from 1 species
UAAGGCGGAAGAAAUUCCGUCUAAUACCGCAUAACACUUAGGAGACAUCUUCGUUGGGGUCAAAGGAGGCGACUCCGGCAUAGGAUGGCCAUGCGUCGCAUUAGCUAGUCGGCGGGGUAACGGCCCACCGAGGCGACGAUGCGUAGGGGUUCUGAGAGGAAGGUCCCCCACACUGGUACUGAGACACGGACCAGACUCCUACGGGAGGCAGCAG